GUGAGGAAUUUUCCGCAAUGGGCGAAAGCCUGACGGAGCAAUGCCGCGUGAAGGAUGAAGGCCUAUGGGUUGUAAACUUCUUUUCUCAGAAAAGAAUUAUGACGGUAUCUGAGGAAUAAGCAUCGGCUAACUCUGUGCCAGCAGCCGCGGUAAGACAGAGGAUGCAAGCGUUAUCCGGAAUGAUUGGGCGUAAAGCGUCUGUAGGUUGUUUAAAAAGUAUUCUGUCAAAGAUUAGGGCUUAACCCUAGAUAGGCAGAAUAAACUUUUAAGCUAGAGUUUGGUAGAGGCAGAGGGAAUUCCCCGUGGAGCGGUGAAAUGCGUAGAUAUCGGGAGGAACACCAAAGGCGAAGGCACUCUGCUGGGCCAAUACUAACACUGAGAGACGAAAGCGAGGGGAGCAAAUGGGAUUAGAAACCCUAGUAGUCC
rnacentral:rRNA from 1 species